AGACGUCUACAUUAGAUACCCGGGUAGUCCCAGCCGUAAACUAUGCGCGUUAGGUGUAUCGGUGACCACGAGUCACCGAGGUGCCGAAGGGAAACCGUGAAACGUGCCGCCUGGGAAGUACGGUCGCAAGGCUGAAACUUAAAGGAAUUGGCGGGGAGCACCACAACGGGUGGAGCCUGCGGUUUAAUUGGACUCAACGCCGGGAAGCUCACCGGAUAAGACAGCGGAAUGAUUGCCGGGCUGAAGACUCUGCAUGACUAGCUG
rnacentral:rRNA from 1 species